UACGUAGGGUGCGAGCGUUAAUCGGAAUUACUGGGCGUAAAGCGUGCGCAGGCGGCGCGUUAAGACAGGUGUGAAAGCCCCGAGCUUAACUUGGGAAUUGCGCUUGUGACUGGCGUGCUGGAGUGUGGCAGAGGGAGGUGGAAUUCCACGUGUAGCAGUGAAAUGCGUAGAGAUGUGGAGGAACACCGAUGGCGAAGGCAGCCCCCCUGGGAUAACACUGACGCUCAUGCACGAAAGCGUGGGGAGCAAACAGG
rnacentral:rRNA from 1 species